rnacentral:rRNA from 1 species
GACAGAGGGUGCAAACGUUGUUCGGAAUUACUGGGCGUAAAGCGCGUGUAGGCUGCUCGGAAAGUCGGAUGUGAAAGCCCUGGGCUCAACCCAGGAAGUGCACUCGAAACUCCCGAGCUGGAGUUCCGGAGAGGAAGGCGGAAUUCUCGGUGUAGAGGUGAAAUUCGUAGAUAUCGAGAGGAACAUCGGUGGCGAAGGCGGCCUUCUGGACGGUGACUGACGCUGAGACGCGAAAGCGUGGGGAGCAAACAGG